UAUUUCACAACUCAAUUUUUAUUUUUCACUAUUUUUCUUCCAAGCAAGCAUUCAUUUUCAUUCUUUCUAUUUUUGUUCUUUUCUUUCACAUCAUAUUUACAAAACAGAUGUUUCUUUUCUAUAUUUUUAUUUUCAAUGCUUGCUUGGUUUUUCAUUUUUUUCCAAGAGUUGUGGUACUUACCGAUUCUCCCCAACUUAUUUCUUACUCACCCUAAGUGAAUGCUCUUAACUUUUUACGGCAAAAGAACAAUAAUCAAGAUUUUCC
rnacentral:lncRNA from 1 species